rnacentral:rRNA from 1 species
UACAGAGGGUGCGAGCGUUAAUCGGAAUUACUGGGCGUAAAGCGUGCGUAGACGGUUAUUUAAGUCGGGUGUGAAAGCCCCGGGCUCAACCUGGGAAUUGCAUUCGAGACUGAAUAGCUAGGGUACGGUAGAGGGAAGCGGAAUUUCCGGUGUAGCGGUGAAAUGCGUAGAUAUCGGAAGGAACAUCAGUGGCGAAAGCGGCUUCCUGGACCAGUACCGACGUCAGGCACGAAAGCGUGGGGAGCAAACAGGAUUGAGAAACCCUU